AACUCUGUAUGUCAUAGAGGCCUCAUUGCCCUGGCCAGUAGCACCAUCAGGCACCUUACAGAAGCUCACUGCGCCGAUGGGGCCUUCUCAGCUUGUCCGUGCCCCUCGGUCCCGGGGCUUAAGUUCCCCCUACCGUAGGCCAGGCGUGGGUUGGCCUCGGCCCCGCUUUCCCAAGAUGUUCAAGUGUAGCCGCAGAAGGUACCGGCAGAAACGGCAAGGCCCAGCUGGCACCACUGUAACCAUCAAUCUUGCCACUGUGGCCACGGAUAUCAACGACACCCAAACUGCCACCACCAGGGUGUUGAUCCUUCCACCGCAAGUUCUCAGACACCUCUGUCAACCUGGCAGCUUUCUGAUCCUCUAGAAACAUCCAGAAACUAGUCCAGAAGCUUGGCUGGCUGCGGACCUUCAUCUCUUCAGGGGCACGGGCAGUGAACAGCAGACAAAUACAGUCCUUUCUGCUCCAACUA